AGAAACUUAGGAUAACCCAAAAACCGAAGGCCUUCAAAGCCUUAAAUAAGAGUUGAACCCUCUUAGUUUCUG
rnacentral:tRNA from 1 species